UCGGGUAGGUGCAAAUAACCAUUGAUCCGAGGAUUUCCGAAUGGGACAACCCAUACAUUUGAAGAAUGUAUAUCUCUACCUAAGGUAGAGAGGCAAACCGAGGGAACUGAAACAUCUUAGUACCUCGAGGAAGAGAAAAUAAACUAAUGAUUCCCCCAGUAGUGGCGAGCGACCGGGGAAGAGCCCAAACCGUCGUUGUUUCGGCAUCGGCGGGGUAGUAGGACCGCGAUAUUGUAUGUGUUUUGUGAGUAGAAUGUUCUGGAAAGAACAACCAUAGGAGGUGAAAGUCCUGUAUACGAAGCGAAACAUGGCAUAGCGGUAUCCUGAGUAGCGCGGAGCACGAGGAAUUCUGCGUGAAUCAGCCGGGACCAUCCGGUAAGGCUAAAUACUCCUGUGAGACCGAUAGUGAACGAGUACUGUGAAGGAAAGGUGAAAAGCACUCCGAUGAGGAGAGUGAAAUAGUUCCUGAAACCAUACGCCUACAAGCGGUCGGAGCUCAGCAAUGAGUGACGGCGUGCCUUUUGCAUAAUGAACCUACGAGUUACCGUCUCUGGCAAGGUUUAGUAUCUCAGAUACGUAUCCGCAGUGAAAGCGAGCCUGAAAUGGGCGUAUAGUCAGAGGGGGUAGACGCGAAACCAAGUGAUCUACACUUGGCCAGGUUGAAGUUCCGGUAACACGGAAUGGAGGACCGAACGGAUAAGCGUUGAAAAGCUUCCCGAUGAGCCGAGUGUAGGAGUGAAAGGCCAAUCAAACUUGGAGAUAGCUCGUACUCCCCGAAAUGCAUUUAGGUGCAGCGUGUAUCGAUCCGCAUGAGAGGUAGAGCGACCGAUAGGUCAAGAGGGCUUCACCGCCUAUCGAGACCUGACGAACUCCGAAUGCUCAUGCGCCGCAGAUAUGCAGUAAGGGGGCGGGUGCUAAGGUCCGUCCCCGAGAGGAGAAGAAUCCAGACCGCCAACUAAGGCCCCGAAAUUCUGUCUGAGUUAGUCUAACGAAGUCUGGUCCCUAUGACAGCUAGGAUGUUGGCUUGGAAGCAGCCAUUCAUUCAAAGAGUGCGUAACAGCUCACUAGUCGAGGGUCCGGGCAUGGAUAAUAAUCGGGUAUAAGGCAGAUGCCGAAGUUGCGGGAUAGUAAU
rnacentral:rRNA from 1 species